rnacentral:rRNA from 1 species
UACGGGGGGGGCAAGCGUUGUUCGGAAUUACUGGGCGUAAAGGGCUCGUAGGUGGCCAACUAAGUCAGACGUGAAAUCCCUCGGCUUAACCGGGGAACUGCGUCUGAUACUGGAUGGCUUGAGAUUGGGAGAGGGAUGUGGAAUUCCAGGUGUAGCGGUGAAAUGCGUAGAUAUCUGGAGGAACACCGGUGGCGAAGGCGGAUCUCUGGGCCUGUCCUGACGCUGAGGCGCGAAAGCUAGGGGAGCGAACAGG